UCUGCUCUUCCCUAGCCACAGAAACCCACUAAAAAGACUAAGGCAUAGAAGUUGUUGAGAAUCUCAGCCUUCUCUCUGUCCAGAGCAGCCAGGUCUCCCGUUUCUUUCUGGAGAGGGCCCACAUUAUCCCUAGUCCUUCUUUUGUUUGCAAUAAUGCCUCAGAGCUUUUUUUGGAUUUUUUAACUUUUAUAGAUUUUAGAAGUAGAUGUGUAAUGAACGUAGAUUUUAAUGUAGCUGUGUUAUAUCCCUUACCCUGUAGCAUAAUGUUUACACAUACACAACCCUACUACCCCGUUUCAUAUCAACCCCUCUAAAAUUCUGUUAGCAUGUUUAGUCUUCUUUUCAAGGUAGAAUUGUAGAAAAACACCCUAAGGCCUGGACCAGAAGAUAUCACACAGACACAGUGACCUUCAAGCCCAGAACUUUGUAGGAACUCCAAGGACUGUAUGUGCUUUGAAGAAGAUGAAGAUGAGGAAGAAGGGGUCCCAAAUGCCGCCAGACUCAAUUCCCGAAGGGGCGUGUCAGGGGGCAUAACCGGGGGUUGGACAAAUAGAGAUUGGAUGGACCUUAUUAUAAAAUCAUAGAAUCAGUGUCUGAGAGAGGGCGUGUGGUAUGUAUUCCUCUAGGCCUACGGACUCAUUAAAGGAUCUGCUCCCUUUAUCUUAUUUUCUACACUAAAUUGGCCUGAAGUCUUUUCUCUGCAGUGCUUUAGGCAACAGUUUUGGCACUCCGAAAGGUGGAAAAGCCAGACCUGUGACUCCUCCAGAUCCACCCAUCUUGAGAAGCCCGGCUCCUCAGAACCACACACGGGGGUCUUCUAGGCAACAGUUUUGGCAGCCUGAAAGGUGGAAAAGCGGGACCUGUGGCUCUCCAGAUUGGAAAAUUUCAUCCAGCAGGAAAUUCUUCUUCGGCCGGCAUAUUUUGGAGAAUUCCCGCACUGAUCUUGAGAGGCCCAGCUCCUCAAAACCACACACGGAAGUGAGAUAAAAGAGCAGCUUUUUGUUAGCAGCUGCGAACUGCUAUUUCCCAGGAAUAGGGGGUACAGUGGGACUGGGAAAGGGAAACUUAGACUUGGCCCAGAAGUUGCAAAAGUCAGUGUUUUUCCCAGUCUGUGGGCGAAAGAGUUUGGCCGGGGCGGGCAGUUGGACUGUCUGUGAGGUUUCGGUAAAGGCAGGGCAGAGGGAAACUCAGGUGUUUCGUGUUUUGUGUUGGCCAGGGGGGCCGAGCAGGGGGACGCUUCUCCGUGUGUUGAAGUACUGUGUUAUGGCCUGAAGCCGGCAGUGGCGCUCGGGGAAGGAGUUUACACAGUGCUCCUGGGUCUGUGAACUCUAAUCCCGGUGCUACUCCUGUCUGUAUUUUGUCAUCAUGGGUUGUACGCUGGCCAAGGAGAAGAAGAUCCCUAAGGGAUUCCCUCCGGCUUUGGGGGGGGCCGCCCCCUCAGGGGCUGCGGGAGCGAUGUCGCCCGUAGCGGCUUCAGGCGCGGUCGCUAGCGGGGAGGCGGCGGCCCCCUCAGGAGCUGCAGGGUCGGUUCUGGCUGGAGCCGCCCCAGGGGUGGUGCUGACUGCCGGCGCGGUUGCUACGGCAACGGGGGCUGCCGCCCGCACAGGCGUAGUUGCGGGCGUGGACGGCUUCGUCCCCGCAGGGGCCGACACGGCCCCGGGAAGAGGGGUGGAGCCGCCCUCUGCGGCCGGAGCUGUCCCCAUGGUGAUGGGAGGCACCGGCGUAGACCUUAGAACUGCGGGAGGAGGAGCAGGGGCGGUGCCUGCAGCCGGGAUCACCGCCCCGGCCGACACGGGGCCCUCCGGCUCCGUCAUUGUGGGCGGAGCUGGAGCCGCCCCCUUUCCCCCAGCAUCGCUGCGCCGCCCAGUUAUGUAGGAUUUCCCACUGUGGAAGGGGGGAAGCAGGAACUGGAGGCAUUUCCAGCUUCUGCCCCAUAUCAUCAGGGAACGAGCACUCCAAGAAAGAGCAAAUCAAUCCCGGCCUUCGACAGGAAGCAAAGGCAGGGUCUUCCCCCCUUUGACCCCUCGAGUGUGAAAGUCGAAACUCGAGACAGUGAUUUUACUGACACAGAUACAGAAGCCUCUGAUGGCAAAUUAGAUAGUAGCACGGAGGAGGAAAAACCUCCUGUAGUAAAACCAAAAGCAAAGGGGAGGAGAGUCUGUGAAGCCCUAGCAGAUUCCAGCCCAGUGGCUAGAAGAACGAGGACAAAGAAGGAAAAACCUGUGGUAGAGGCUCCCUUAAUACAGGCUAUGGGUAACCAAGGCCCAGUGUUAAUAAAGGCUCCUUUUUCUCUGGUUGAAUUGCAGCAGUGGAAAGCUUUUGUCGGAGCAUAUAGAGAUAACCCAGAUAAAGUGGCUAAUUAUAUGGAAAGAGCAAUUAGAACACAAAAUCCAGAUUGGUGUGACUUAGAAGAGAUGAUGGAUACAUUACUUGACUCCACAGAGAAGGAAAUGGUUAAGCAAGCUGCUCAGUCUAGAACUGAGCUACUAAUAACAGGUGGAGUACUCACAGGGAAACUUAAGGAUACUUUCCCCCUAGAGGACCCGAAGUGGGACCCUAAUUUACCAGAGAAAAAAGAAGCAUUGAAACGCUAUCAGGACUGGGUAGUGUAUGGUUUCAGGCAUGGGAUUCCAAAGGCAGUGAACUGGUCAAAGGUGGAUGAAGUAAAACAAGAUAGAAAUGAGUCCCCAACAGACUUUCUGAAUAGGCUAAAAGAGGUUAUACGAAAAUAUACAGACAUAGACACGGAGUCAGGUUUCGGGGAAAAGUACUUGGUCUAUUUGUUCAUAUACCAGUCUGCGGAUGAUAUAAGGAAAAAGCUGCAGGAGGUAGGGGGCAGGAAAGAUAUUGGUGUAUUAUUGGAUAUUGCUUGGACAGUGUAUCGCAAUAGAGAUCAGAAAGGCAGGGCAAGGGUGCUGAAGCUAGAGGAAGAUACCUGCCAUGUACUCCACAGAAGCAGUAACUGUCAGGAACGCCGCAAACAUAAUGCCCACCACAAGUAUGAUUUGGCAAACGAUCGAUGUUUCUUCUGUAAAAAGAAGGGACAUUGGAAAAGGGAUUGUCCAGACUUGAAAAGAAGCAGAAAUCCAGUCCCUCAACUGUCUGUGAACCGGGAUGCAUGAAGGGGACUGGAGGAUUCUUCCCCAGCAGAACCUCUGGUUAUAGCUAAGUUGGGGGAAGAAGAAGUUGAAUUCUUGGUUGAUACAGGCGCAGCAUAUUCUGUGUUAAAUACCUUAGAAGGGAAAUUGAGUCGUGAUACUAUAAACUGUGGUUGGUGCUACAGGGGUAAGUGAAACCAGGCCUUUCUUUACACCUUUGAGAUUUAAAUUAGGUAAACACUGGGUAACUCAUCAAUUCCUCUAUAUGCCAAACUCUCCCAAGCCUUUAUUGGCUAGAGACUUAUUCGAGAAAUUAGAAGCUGAAAUUAAAUUUUGCAAGGGGGGGAAAUAAAAGUCAUAAUUCCUGACACUAAAUAUAUCAAGGCAGCUACCUUCUUCAUACAGGAGAACCACAGAGAGAUCCUCACAGAUGGAUGAGAAUGAAUGAGAAUGCUGUCAUCCCUAUAGUAUGGGCUAGCGAGUGUCCUGGGAGAUCCAAACAAGCAGAGCCUGUAAGCAUCACACUCAAACCAGGAGCAACACCGGUAAGACAAAAACAAUACCCCUUGAAGCUAGAAAGCUGUAAAGGGUUAGCACCCAUAAUUGAAAAUUUCUCAGAUUUGGGUUAUUGGUAGAACAUGAGUCCAAAUUCAACACCCCUAUCCUACCGGUAAAGAAGGCUGAUGGCAAGAGCUAUCAAUUGGUCCAAGAUCUGAGGGCAAUCAACAAAAUAACCAAGGACAUAUACCCAGUAGUAGCCAACCCCUAUACCUUAUUGACCACAUUAACAGAUGAUUUAGGGUGAUUUACUGUGCUUGAUCUCAAGGAUGCCUUCUUCUGCAUUCUCGUACAUAAGGAUAGUCAAGAGCUUUUUGCUUUUGAAUGGGAAAAUCCCGAGACAGGGAGAAGAACUCAACUCCCCUGGGCAGUUCUACUGCAGGGCUACAAGAACAGCCUGGCGAUAUUUGGAAACCAACUGGCAAAAGAACUGGAGGACCGGUGAAGGUAGCAACCAGAAGGAGUUGUCCUGCAGUAUGUAGAUGACAUACUAAUUGCUGCCAAAAGUCAAGACAAAUACAUUGAGCUCACUGUAAGUCUUUUAAACUUUUUGGGACUAAGUGGGUAUAGGGUCUUGAAAGAGAAAGCACAGAUUGCAAAGGAGAUAGUCAUCUAUCUGGGGCUUGAAAUGUACCAUGGACAUCGACAGCUCAGCACAGACUGGAAAGAAGCCAUUUGUAGUCUCCCAGAGCCCCACACCGUAUGAGAAAUGCAGGCAUUCCUAGGAAUGAUAGGAUGGUGUCACCUGUGGAAAGUUAACUAUGGGCUACUAGUCAAACCCCUAUAUGGAACACUGAAAGCAGCCAAGGAAGGAGUUGUAACAUGGACAGAUGAGACCAGAGCCGCAUUUAAACAGCUGAAGCAAUCUUUAAUGUCAACUCCAGCAUUGAGACUACCAGACCUAACUAAGCCUUUUGAACUGUUUACAUAUAAGCAACUAAAUGUUGCUCUGGGGGUAUUAUCACAGACCCUGGGAAACCAGCAAAGGACUGUGGCCUAUUUCUCCAAACAUCUAGACAGUUAGCCAAGAAUGGCCGGGGUGUCUGAGAGAUGUAGCAGCAACUGCAAUCCUGAUCCAGGAGGCCUGAAAACCCACCCUUGAGCAGCGCAUUGUCGUGUAUGUACCCCAUGCAGUCCAAGCUGCACUUGAGCAGAAGGGGGGCCACUGGCUGUCCCCUAGCAGGAUGCUUAAAUACCAAGCUGUGUUGUUGGAACAUGAUCAUGUUACCGUGAAAACAACAUCUAUUGUAAAUCCUGCUAUGUUUCUGUCCUCAACAUUGACUGACAGUGUGCCUGAGCAUGACUGUUUGCAGACCAUUGAGGAGGCCUAUUCCAGGAGACAAGACCUGAAGGACGUGCCUCUGGAAAACCUGGACUGGGAACUGUACACGAACGGAAGCAGCUUCAUGCGGGAUGGUAAGAGAAUGACAGGAUAUGCAGUGACAACCAAGGAUGAAGUAAUUGAGAUGAAGGCCUUGCCAGCAGAUGUGUCAUCCCAAAAAGCAGAGCUAAUUGCACUGACAAGAGCUCUAGAACUGAGCGAAGGAAAGAAGUUAAAUAUCUGGACUGAUUCUAAGUACGCAUUCAGUGUUGUACGUGCCCGUGGAGCCAUCUGGAAAGAGAGAGGGCUACUAACAGUGGGAUCAAACAUGCUGACCAAAUCCAUGCACUCCUGCAGAGUAUUUGGAAACCAGAGGAUGUGUCUAUCAUGCAUUGCAGAUCUCAUCAAAAGGGGAAAACAACUCUCGAAUUGGGAAAUCAUUUUGCUGACCAGGCGGCAAAAGGGGCUGCAGAAAAAGGUAUCCUAGCAGUAAUACCACAGAAAGAAAUUGUUCUGUCAGGGUUCACCCCAAAAUAUGAUGAGAAAGACCACCAGUUAGUUAAGUCCCUUAAUGCUGAAAUCAAAGAAAGUGGAUAGGCUGUUACACCUACAGGACAGGUUGUGAUCACACCCCAACUUCUUAGGGAGAUAGCUCUACGGGAACAUGAGGCUACCCACUGGGGACCAGAAAUCUUCUAAAACAUUUGAAGAAGAUAGUAAUAGGGACAGGUAUGACCGAAGUUGUGCAAUCCAUUGUAAGUAAAUGUGAAAUCUGCAGGCAAAACAAUUCUGAUACAACUAAGAGAGUGGUGCUGGGGGUAACAAAGGCCAGGGACCUUCCAGGAGAUUAUUGGCAAAUAGAUUUUGCUGAGUUACCACUCAGGGAGGGAUACAAGUACAUACUGGUUGACACCUUCAGUGGAUGGCCUGAAGCUUGCCCCUGGUUCACUAACACAGCAAGGAAGUGGAAAAAACUUUGCUCAACCAUAUAAUUCCAAGGUUUGGGGUUCCUCUAGGAAUGUCAUCAGAUAGAGGGACACAUUUCAUUGCAACAGUAGUGAAGGAGGUUUGUCGUGUCCUGGAAAUUGUCUGGGGCCUGCAUACUCCCUACAGACCUGAGGCAAGCGGCAAAGUAGAACAUAUAAAUGGUACUCUUAAAAUGCAAAUUGGUAAAAUUUGUCAGGAAACAUUCAUGUCAUGGGUUCAGGCUUUGCCUCUAGCUCUGCUGAGUAUUCACAUACAACCAAAACGGAGAGAUAACCUAAGUCCUUAUGAAAUAUUAUGUGGGAGACCAUACCAAGCUCUGCAUAUUCCAGGGGACAUUCACAUGAGGGGAAAAGUUGAUCUACAAAAGUAUUUAAUGACUGUAGGCUAUACUUUACAGAAACUCCAUAGAUUUAUUGAGUUAUCCAGACCUAUAGGACUGGACACCCCUUCUCAUCAGUUCCAGCCUGGAGACUGGGUCUACGUUAAAUGAUGGGACAGUGACCCACUACAAGCCAAGUGGAGAGGACCAUUCCAAGUCCUGCUGACUUCCCUCACUGCCAUCAAAGUUGCUGGCAAAGGACCCUGGUUUCAUUACUCCAGAGUAAAGAAAGCUUCAGUUCCUGGAACAACUAGCAAAUCAGAGCCUGACACAGAUGAAGAGGAUGCACUAAUAAAAAGCUACAGAUAUAUGUCGUGACAUCCAGACCAAUAGGAUUGGACGCUCCUGCCCAUCCAUUCCAGCCUUGGGACUGAGCCUAUGUUACAUGGCGGGACAGCUAUCCUUUGCAAGCCAAGUGAAGAGAUCCGUUUCAAGUUCUGCUGUCCACCCUCACCGCAGCCUUGGUUGGUGGCAAAGGAUAGUGGAUUCACUACUCCAUAAUUAAGAAGGCCUCUGCUCCCUGGACAGUAGAACAAAAGCAGAUAAGAUAAAAAGAAAUGUCGUUUAAACCACUCUUUUUAUGUGUACUUUUUAUGUGUACUUUUUAUGUGUACUGCUGGGAUCCAUGAACCAAGUUUGGGACCAGAAUUUACAUUUGACCCUAGUUCAGAAUGUUUCUAGUAUUUUUCAUAAAAAUGACUGUUGGAUUUGUACUCAAAUUCCAACAACUGGUAAGAAAAGACCUUUGACUGAAACAAACUUCAAUGAGGUCCACAAACUCCAGGACCAUACGACACACAUGACACACACAGGCUCAGGAACUCUCACAUCUGAAUGGUGUGGACAGAUCAAGAGAACCUACCUACCUAUAGCCCUAAGGAGCUUAAUCCUUAACCAUGAAAACUACAUGGUUCCCUGCAUAGUUGUUAAUGCCAUGGGAUAGGUCAUUCUUCCUUCAUAUUGCCAUUAAAUUAAGUCCAGAGUGAAACUAACAUCAGAACUUAUAAAGGGAUUGGCACAAAUACCCUGGAGAAUGACCCCCACACACAGAGUUCAGGAUGCUACUGGAUAUGCAAAAAUGAAGCGUGAAAAGUUUUACCCUUUAAUAAGGAUGGGGCCUGUGUUCUUAGAGCCUUAGUUCGAAACAUAACGAUAUUCCAUCGAAUUAAUUAACAAGGUGGGUGGGUAAGAACUUACGUAAAAAGAAUAAAAAGAUCCAAUAAUGCCCCUGUUGAUCAUCCCAUGGCCUUUCACAGUUUUGUUAGAGCUCUUAUUCCUUCUUCAUAAGUAAGUGAAUGAGAAGAAAGGAAUUGUCAACAUUUCAGCCACUACUGAACACACUGAGAAUCGAACUUGAGAUGCAUUCACUGCCUUACAAGACAUCGUUUGUCUAGUGUAGUUCUGAAGAACAAAAUGGCUCUCUUAUGUACUGCUGUUAACACCAGUUGCUGUACUUAUGUACAUCAAAGCGAAAGAAUUGCCACAGAUCUUGCAGAAAUUUUGAAACAAACUCAAACCCUACGCCAGGUAGCCCUUGAUUAUACCUCUUUAGGUUUUGAAAACAUUUGUCACAAACUCACUUCAUGGUUACCGAAUUGGACCUGGAUAAAACAGCUUUUUGUGAUAAUUAUACUUAUCAUUUGUGGGUUUAUAUUGGCUUGCUUUAUGAUUCAAUGUUGUCGUUCGUCUUUAUGGUUCAAUGUUAAAUAUAGGUAGUAGAAAGUUAACAGGAUGAAGUCCUUUAAAGCCUCUAAAAGGGGGGACUUGCAACUAUAAAGAAUAAUGUAGCUCAUUAGUGACUAUAAUUUACUAAUGUAACCUAAACUAUGUAGUUUAUCAUUCUUUGUUAAGGGUCUCAACAGGCAGGAAUUUUAAUGAGGUAGAAGGUUCCUCUACUGUGAAGCAGGGACACAAAACUAGCAAACUAGUCAAAGCUGGUCAUAGACCUUGACACCAUUCCAGAAGAUGUGAUGCUGUGCCAAAAGCAAGGGAUCAAGAAAAAGACAAACUGAGGAAGACAAUGGAGAUGACCACCAGGGUUCUUCAUGACCACCAACAGAACCUCAGAUUCAAAUUCAAGGGGCAUGUCAAGGGUGGAACAGUGGGUGGAAUGGUUUUGGAAGUAGGAGGAACAAGAUAAGGCAAUGCCUGAAUUUGUAAUUAGGUAGAUGAAUAAAGCUAUAGAUCCUUUUGUGAUUCAACAUGCACAAUUUGGAACACAUUUCCUGUGCAUCCACCAUGCUAUAAUAAAGAAUGCUUGCUUUCUAGUA